AUUGAACGCUGGCGGCAGGCCUAACACAUGCAAGUCGAGCGGAUGAGAAGAGCUUGCUCUUCGAGUUAGCGGCGGACGGUGAGUAAUGCCUAGGAAUCUGCCUGGUAGUGGGGGAUAACGUCCCGAAAGGAACGCUAAUACCGCGUACGUCCUACGGGAGAAAGCAGGGGACCUUCGGGCCUUGCGCUAUCAGAUGAGCCUAGGUCGGAUUAGCUAGUUGGUGAGGUAAUGGCUCACCAAGGCUACGAUCCGUAACUGGUCUGAGAGGAUGAUCAGUCACACUGGAACUGAGACACGGUCCAGACUCCUACGGGAGGCAGCAGUGGGGAAUAUUGGACAAUGGGCGAAAGCCUGAUCCAGCCAUGCCGCGUGUGUGAAGAAGGUCUUCGGAUUGUAAAGCACUUUAAGUUGGGAGGAAGGGCGUUUGGCUAAUAUCCAGGCGUUUUGACGUUACCAACAGAAUAAGCACCGGCUAACUUCGUGCCAGCCGCCGCCGUAAUAC
rnacentral:rRNA from 1 species